rnacentral:tRNA from 1 species
GUUUACCUAGUUUAUAAUUUUAGGACGCCGCUUUGUGGUAGCGGAGGAAGCAAGUUCUGUUGGAAAC